rnacentral:misc_RNA from 1 species
AAGUCGUAACAAGGUUUCCGUAGGUGAACCUGCGGAAGGAUCAUUACUUUCAGUACUUGGGGGCUGUAAGCCUAUAUCACUAUAGCUUGCCCCUACCUGAACCCUUGUCUUUUGCGUACCUAUGUUUCCUCGGUGGGCUUGCCCGCCGGCUGGACAAACUUAUAACCUUUUUAAUUUUCAAUCAGCGUCUGAAUAAACAUAAUAAUUACAACUUUCAACAACGGAUCUCUUGGUUCUG